rnacentral:lncRNA from 10 species
ACCGUGCCUGUAAAGAGAAAGAUAAUACAUUUUAUGUGUGUCAAUUUUUUACAAAAACAGCAAGAUUUUUUAAAAGCCAUUUUAUCUCUGAGAGAUUCAAUGACCAUAUUUGAUGACAAGCCAGAUGGCAGCAUUCUCUAGACCCGGUGCCAAGACGCAUGACAGGAGCCGCAAUUUACCUUCCGUGGUGAGGCUAGCUGCUGAGGCACACCACAGCUGCGGGCGAGCGGGCUGCUGCCGGUAGGUGCAAGCACAGUUGGUUCCCUCCCAAUUUGGAUGCAGCAGGGAGUACUGAUGGGGGUGGAACAUCAGGACUACAACUACCACAACAUGUUGUGUGUCCUGAGGAAGACGGUAUCUCUCAUCUGCUCCCACACUAACCAACAGAAGGACAUUCCAGGAACAUUUUGCUGUACCUUCUCUAGUUUGGUGAAGAAAAACAGAACACUAUCUGAGAACGUAUUUGUUGUUAUUUUUAUUGCGUUGUGGUUUUUGGCCCUUCACUGGGAGACGGAAGUAGAACCGAUGAGUAGAAAUUACAAGGAAAUAGAUUUAAAUUCCAGAAAAUAAGCAGUUUUCCAACCAUGAGAGCCAUUGUUGAGUAUCACCUGCUCUAGAAGGUAUUUCAUCAUUUGGAAGGAAAUUAAACAGAUGACUUACCGGUUACUUUUUGACUCUUAAUUCUAAGAUUCGAUGGCA